rnacentral:rRNA from 1 species
UGGGGAAUUUUGGACAAUGGGGGAAACCCUGAUCCAGCCAUCCCGCGUGUGCGAUGAAGGCCUUCGGGUUGUAAAGCACUUUUGGCAGGAAAGAAACGUCAUGGGUUAAUACCCCGUGAAACUGACGGUACCUGCAGAAUAAGCACCGGCUAACUACGUGCCAGCAGCCGCGGUAAUACGUAGGGUGCAAGCGUUAAUCGGAAUUACUGGGCGUAAAGCGUGCGCAGGCGGUUCGGAAAGAAAGAUGUCAAAUCCGAGAGCUCAACUUUGGAACUGCAUUUUUAACUACCGGGCUAGAGAGUGUCAGAGGGAGGUGGAAUUCCGCGUGUAGCAGUGAAAUGCGUAGAGAUGCGGAGGAACACCGAUGGCGAAGGCAGCCUCCUGGGAUAACACUGACGCUCAUGCACGAAAGCGUGGGGAGCAAACAGG